UAGUGGGGGAUAGCACGGGGAAACUCGUAUUAAUACCGCAUACGACCUACGGGAGAAAGGGGGCAGUUUACUGCUCUCGCUAUUAGAUGAGCCUAAGUCGGAUUAGCUAGAUGGUGGGGUAAAGGCCUACCAUGGCGACGAUCUGUAGCUGGUCUGAGAGGAUGAUCAGCCACACCGGGACUGAGACACGGCCCGGACUCCUACGGGAGGCAGCAGUGGGGAAUAUUGGACAAUGGGGGAAACCCUGAUCCAGCCAUGCCGCGUGUGUGAAGAAGGCCUUUUGGUUGUAAAGCACUUUAAGCAGUGAAGAAGACUCCCCGGUUAAUACCCGGAGACGAUGACAUUAGCUGCAGAAUAAGCACCGGCUAACUCUGUGCCAGCAGCCGCGGUAAUACAGAGGGUGCAAGCGUUAAUCGGAAUUACUGGGCGUAAAGCGAGCGUAGGUGGCUUGAUAAGUCAGAUGUGAAAUCCCCGGGCUUAACCUGGGAACUGCAUCUGAAACUGUUAGGCUAGAGUAGGUGAGAGGGAAGUAGAAUUUCAGGUGUAGCGGUGAAAUGCGUAGAGAUCUGAAGGAAUACCGAUGGCGAAGGCAGCUUCCUGGCAUCAUACUGACACUGAGGCUCGAAAGCGUGGGGUAGCAAACAGGAUUAGAUACCCUGGUAGUCCACGCCGUAAACGAUGUCUACUAGUCGUUGGGUCCCUUGAAGGACUUAGUGACGCAGCUAACGCA
rnacentral:rRNA from 1 species